UGUCACUAAGAACAAGAGGCCAGCAGAAGCCCCAACUCAGACCAUGCAGAGUUUUGGAAUACCAUUCCAAUAGCCUCUUCCCGAGUCGAAGAAGAUCUUAGAGGUGGAGUCAAAUGCUAAUAAAGAGACCAUUGGGUCUUCAAGAGAAGAAAUUAACAGGAAGAGGUGAACAGUGGGGGAAGGAACCCAAAGGGGGAUGCUUGGAGGACUUGGGGGUUGGAGUUUGCCUAUCACUAGCCUGCAUGAUGGACAGCAGAGCCUGCAUGGGCUAAAAGGGGAGUGCUUGUGUUGACUGUGGCUGGUACUGUCAGGAAGCUGACCCCAGCAAGCACAGACAAACUUCUUUAUGCUAAGGGCAGGGGAUAGUGAGGUGCCUCAUACUCCUGGGUGCCUGCAAGAAGCCUCAAGGAAAUCAGCAGUAUCCAGGAAAUCAGCAGUUCUGGAGAGGACUGAGGGAUCAUCUUAAAUAGCCAACUGAACAAGAGCUCGCAGUGGAAUGCUGUUGGGAAAAAGGCUAACACCCUUUGGUAAUACCCACAGGUGAUAUUAUAUCUCUGCUCAUAUUCACUAGUGAGACCACUACCUAAUUAGCAUGUCUGUUUCUGGCAUCCACAUUUAAAUAAGAAUGAUGAAAAAUUGGAGAGGAAUCAGAAAAGAGCUACAGUAAUGUUAAUGAUCUGGAAAACAAGCCUUAAAAUACGAGACUAAAGGAACUCAAUCUGUUUAGAUUAUUGAGGUUUAAGCUGGAAAUAAGAAGUGAGGGCAGCUAAACAUUGAAACAGCUUAUUGGAGGACGUAUUUAAUUUUCCAUCGCCACUUGGGUCUUUAAAUCAAUAUUGAAUUUCUUUCUAAAAUAUAUGCUUUACUUCAAUCACAAAUUGUUGAACUAGAUGCUGGACUGUCUAAGUGAAAUAUAUGGCCUUAUGGUAAAAAGGGGGACCUUGAACUUGUCAGAUGUGACAUGCUGAAGGAAACCUAUGUCACUUUUAGGAUUCUCAAUUUCUUUCCCUAAUUUAUGUACAGCUAAAUAGCAAUGACCAUGAGUAACUGCUUUUGAAGUAUUUCCACAAUGUUCCCAGGUGUCCACAAAAGAAUAACCCAGGAAAAAGAGGGAUUAAUGGGAAAGGAAGCAAAAGAAGAACAAACAAACAAUAAAACCUAAGCAAAGAAACAGGAACAGAAAGCAAAAAGGAGAAAAUAUGGCAAAACAGUAUUUGUGCAGGAAUGAAAGAAGCAAGAAAAAAUAUUUUUAACAGAAAAGUCUCUCUUCCCCCUCUCAUUGCUACAUUGUCUCCAGUUCUGUUCUCCCCC